AUGGUCGGCAUAAGCUGCCACCACCACACCGCCGACGGCCAUUCCAUGAGCAUGUUCUUCGCCGCGUGGGCAAAGGCGGUGCGCGAGGGUAAGGACUUCACCACACCGACCCCGUUCCUCGACCGUGCGAGAACCGCCGUGCCUCGAAUCACGCUGACGCCGGUGUUCGACCACCGGUCACUGGAGUUCACGUGUGGAGAUGGAGACGCCUACGCCAUCGUCCCCAUGGACAGGAUCAAAAACCUCACUCUGCACUUCACGGCCGAGUUCGUCGCCGACCUCAAAUCCCGCGUGGGCGCCCAUUGCAGCACGUUCCAAUGCCUACUCACGCACGUUCCACGUGGGACCUGA
rnacentral:rRNA from 1 species